UCUCCUGUGUCCUCCUCCCCUCACCCCCACCCCAGCCUCCACCUUCUCCCCCUCUUUCUGGCAGCCUUUCCUCCUAGAGGAAAAAACAUCCCUGAGGCCCAAAUGGGAGUCUCAACAGACUGGGGGGGGACUUCACUGCUUCUGAGGAUCAGAAUCCAAUGGGCUUGAGGACAAGGAGAAACAUCAAGGCAGGAAAGAAAAGCAGAGCAGGAAAUCCUUGAGCAGAAUGCUGGAGGAAGGGCCCGGCUUCCACAGGCGCAGCCUGACCACCUCUCAGAGGGGAAGCCAGGGGGAGGGGGCCGUCAGGCCACAGCCAAUAUCCAUCUGGCCAAAUUAGGAAUGGCUGAGCUCGGUGCCUCGCCAGGCUGAGGUGUGGCUGCACAUCCCCACUCCUGCAGGUCUGGUUGAGGGGAAGCCAGACCCACCUAGGCCAGUGCCCCACUUCAUGCCACAUUCAACAUGGAACAGAAAGGGCAGUGCUAGGAGGGUGGAAGAUGUAGGGUCUCCAGCAGUGCCACAAACCAGAUGUCACCAUAGGCAUUCCUGCUUGUCACGAGGGAGGACACAGGGGCUGAGCAGAGCAGCAGUGGGCCAGCAAGCAAGCAGGACAGGAGGCCCCAAAAUGCAGGGCAAGAGGCAGGGACCAGGACCAUGGGCAUUGCACACCAGGACCACUCCAAACACCGGGCAGGUCUAGACAUGAAGGCAUUAAGCUAGCCAGCAUUAAGCCACCCACCCUGCAGAGGGGACACGGGACAACACGGACAAAGUGGUACCCGUUGGUCACCUGUAGCUUCCUCAAACCCGCCACUUGAAAGAGAGAAAGAAAAAGAACCUCCUAGAAGAAACAGCCCUGUGGAGACUAGAACUUCAGAUCACCUUAGUGUUUACCUCCAAGGAGAGUGAAUCAACCCCAAAGAGAAUACUUCAACUGACAGCAGCCCAUUAUUUUUUUUGAAGGAUGAAAAGGAAAGAAAAGUCUUCAUGCUUAACCGUUAAGGAUACCCAGCAAGGGGACAGACAUAUUCUACGAUGCAUGCCUUUCUUCUCUUUGCUGAAAUGUUUUCUGAGACUUUGCUUCAGAGCAAACCAGUUAGAGCCAAUGGUGUGCCUGGUGUGGUAAACCCAGCUCCUCCCUGGUUUCCUGUGGGCCCUGCCUAGGCAGACUCCAGCAACAGGCACUCCUCCCUCGGCUGUAAACCUGGCUCCAGGCCCUUCAUCGGCACCCUGUGUUUAAUGGGGGGUAAUUAGGGCCCUUUCCUAACCCACCCACCCACCUCUUCUGUUUGCCCAAGCUGCUCUGGUAGCAAAGGGCAGCUGUUUGGGACCAGGGCCAUAGCUUCACGAGCUGUGAGGCAAAUAAAGGCAAACUUGCUGCCUGUGGAAUCCAGAACAGGUGCAUACAGGUUUUAGAGACAGCAUCUGGGAGAACACGCAGUGUUUCUGGAGCCUUGUAACCUCAAACCCGUAUAGGAUGGAAGCUGGAGCCACACCCUCCUGACCCUUAUCUAUGGUCUUAAAUGUAAGCCAGUUCCUUCAGAUUGAACAGCAAAAUCUGAACUAUGAACAGUCAGGAAAAUCUUCAAAAUGUACAACAUCAGACUGGUCAUAGUAAAAACAGCUAACACUGGGUGAUGGUUACACGCCUGGCGUGGGCUUCAGGCUUUCCUUAAGCUAACCCCCAGCAACGCCAUGGGUAGCUACUGCUGUCAUCCCCAUUUUGCAGAGUUAGAAACCGAGGCAAUAAAGAGGGUAAGUGUCCAAGUUCUCCUAGCUACUAAUGAUACCCAAAUGCUAUGGAUCCUACCUCUCUUUUCCAUGACGUUCCCGCAAUUGGUAUGAGGACAUGGGUAUCUCGGCCAUACGGUUGGCACGUCACCUCCUGGGAUUAUAGCCACAUCACUGAAUGCUUGCCAUGCGCCAGGGCACCUUUCAAUCCCUUACAUGCAGCACCUCACUCCAUCCUGCUAGCACGCUAGCAAGACCAGUGUUACAGGGAUCCCUCUGUUCCAGAUGAAACCUUGGGACUCAGGAAGGCUAAGUGGUUUGCCCCAGUGGCAGAGAGAGUCCAGGAUGAAAACAGGGUCUCGGGACCUAUCAAUGAAGCUAAUGUGGUUCCCGUGCAUCAAGGCCUUCCUGAUCAGCCUGUUUCAUGAGCUGAUACAUGCAUUUCAGAGACAGUCAACCUGUGGUGCAUGAGUUUUAUUUCUCACCUUGGGCCCCGGGAACUCGAACAGCCUGCAUAAAGAGCAAACUUGUGACUCUGGCCCAGGCAGCUUCAGGCCUAAAGGGUUACCUAAAAGUGGCUCUUGAACAUAUUGAAAUGGAAGCAUGGACAAAGGUGCUUCAUGAGCUUUCUAGUUGUCCUUUGAUGAAGGCUUUAGUGAAAUGCACCUGCCUCUACUUGACGCUAUUCCAGCCCACCUGGGCUGACAUCUUAUUUAGAUCACUAGGCUACACUAUGCGCCCUAAAGAAAGGACUAUUGUCAUCUGGGCUACUACACUGCAAAAGACACACACACUCUCACCUAUAUUGUUUAUAUUCAUCAUUUUUAUAAAAAGUGAUUCAUAUCUCAAAAGUUUGUCUUUUUUUAAGGCUGUCAGUGUUGGCAGCACACCUUUAACUAGUUCUUCUGGACUUAGCUUCAAAGGUCACUGCCUGUUCCUUUGCAUGUAGAAUGAGAUGACAUUCAGAGCCCCGAGAUGCGGUGUCCCACACACUCCCAAUCCAUGUCCCUUCUCCACAAGGAUUCCUUUGGGAUGUGGCAGAGCCAUGGAACAAUUCUAGGGUGCUAUUAAGUUCUUAGUCUGCCCUUAGAGGGUUUGUCUGGUGGUACAAUUACCACUCCUGCCUAACAUACUUCCCCCAAACUGGGUGAUUUGAACGCUCCACCAUUUCAUUAUGUGCAUGGAUUUCAUGAGCCAGGAAUUUAGAAAGAGCACAGCAGGGAUCUUUCUCCCCUCCAAGAUGUAUGGAGGCCUCAGUCGAAAAGGUUCACAGGUGGAGGUAGCUUGACAGUUGGGACUGACAUCAACUCCAGGCACGUUCAUUGUGACACGUGGCACAGGCUGGGAGCAGCACAGACCUGAGGCCUACGGACCAGAAUGCUCACAGGGCAGCCUCUGCAUGUGCCAGGACUUCCUCCUGGCGUGGAGCACAGCUGCUCAUACCGCGUACAGGGUGGCUCAGCUAUCCAGGCACAAAUAUUCCAGAGAAAGAGGCAAGCCACAUCACCUUUUUUGACAGCCUAGCAAGUCAUACAGUGUCACUUCCACAGCACUGUGUUGUCAACAAAGUCACAAGCCACUCAGAUUCAAGAAGAGAGCUAAGACCCUCGGACCUUCGGCAGAGGGUGGUGAGGUGGCAUUGAGGAAUGGCCCUGGGAGCGGAGGCCCUCUGCGGCCACCACUGGAAAUCUGCCAUAAUGGAUCCAAGAACAAAAAGGAGAAAUCACAAGAUUGACUUGCCUUAGAAGAAAAGCAGUGACCUCAAUCCCAAAAAUAAAUGAAUAAAUAAAAAUAAAAUCUUUGAAGAAAAGCCAACUUUCCCGUAUCCCAGCAUCUGCUGGUUUCUCUGUGAAAGCUCACGAGAAUAGAGCAAGACCUAGGGGAAUGCAGUUAAUGAAACUCCACUAGGUACUUUAAGCAACUGCAGGCAGAGGGACCGAGAAAUAUCAGGCCUCAGCAUUAGUAGUAGAGAGCUCAGUGAAUGGCCUGGAUUAUGCUUUCGGGAGAAUGAACCAGGCGCUAGCAAAGCCUGCAGGAUUAGAAUGACAAAAGGGGAAAAUGUGAAGAGCUCAGGAUAGAGGCUUGUUCCUGGCAACGGAUUUCAGACUCCCCGGGAAAGCUUCAGUCGGCUUCGUGUUGGUCACUGGCCCCUUCUUGAGCAGAAGAGAUGACAGAGCUCUAAUGGCCUUGCGAUGGGUGUCCUGUUUAAAACAGGCUCCUGUUGUCCCUGCAAUCUUAACAAGCAUAGAAGGCAUGAAGGAGGAAGUGGCAUCAUCAGAAG